AGAAAAAAACGUGCUCGCUCAUGCGACUGCCCCCCCGCCUAUUUUGAUGCUUCCGGCUCUCCGCAUUUAGCCAUGGAGCGGCCAACGUCGUCGAUCGACCGAUGGACUCCUCGAUCGCAUCCUCCGCCGGCGGUCGCCGACGACUCGCCGGACCACAUAGCUGGGCGCGGCCGUACUCAACGCGUGGAGGCUGGGACGUCGUCGUCGAUCGGCCGGCUCGCCGGACCACAUUGCUUCCUCCUUCCGUUCCAGACAAGAAAUUUGAUGGGCCGGCAGGUCGUCGCGCGCUAAUAAUCUAACAAUGCUGGCGUCGCCUGGCUUUGUGUAUCUCGAUUAUGCCAUCAUCCUAAAACGCCAAGCACUACUGCCUUGUCUGCUGCUUAGCUUCUCCGGUUCCGGUACGUUCCUUGGCAAUUUAUAUAUAAUAUAUAGGGGAAAUGUGUAAUGUUUGAGCUUUUAAAUUGUGUUAUGCCCAAACUAUGUUUCGUGAAUGUUAUAUCAUUGUUGGAUUUUAAGGACCGUAA